rnacentral:rRNA from 1 species
GACGAACGCUGGCGGCGUGCUUAACACAUGCAAGUCGAACGGAAAGGCCCUGCUUUUGUGGGGUGCUCGAGUGGCGAACGGGUGAGUAACACGUGAGUAACCUGCCCUUGACUUUGGGAUAACUUCAGGAAACUGGGGCUAAUACAGGAUAGGAGCUCCUGCUGCAUGGUGGGGGUUGGAAAGUUUCGGCGGUUGGGGAUGGACUCGCGGCUUAUCAGCUUGUUGGUGGGGUAGUGGCUUACCAAGGCUUUGACGGGUAGCCGGCCUGAGAGGGUGACCGGCCACAUUGGGACUGAGAUACGGCCCAGACUCCUACGGGAGGCAGCAGUGGGGAAUAUUGCACAAUGGGCGGAAGCCUGAUGCAGCAACGCCGCGUGCGGGAUGACGGCCUUCGGGUUGUAAACCGCUUUCGCCUGUGACGAAGCGUGAGUGACGGUAAUGGGUAAAGAAGCACCGGCUAACUACGU